rnacentral:antisense_RNA from 1 species
AAUUUUAAUGUACUUACGAAUUGGCGGUCACGUUAAUCUUUCCAUCAAUAUUGCUUUCUUCGUAAAGGCUCGAGUUUUUAUGCUAAAGAUUGCAAGUUGCUUGUAAAAGAUAAGUACACUGAUCCAUAA